AAAAUUGUGGUAUUGAACAAUACCUGUGUUAAAAGACAUACAUAGCAGCACCUUAUAACACUCGUAUUGUUCGCUACUACAGU
ensembl:miRNA mir-4811 miscRNA